rnacentral:rRNA from 1 species
UACAGAGGGUGCGAGCGUUAAUCGGAAUUACUGGGCGUAAAGCGCGCGUAGGCGGCUUUGCAAGUCGGGUGUGAAAUCCCCAGGCUUAACCUGGGAACUGCAUUCGAGACUGCAUUGCUAGAGUAUGGGAGAGGGAAGUGGAAUUUCCGGUGUAGCGGUGAAAUGCGUAGAUAUCGGAAGGAACGCCGGUGGCGAAAGCGGCGUGCUGGACCUCUUCUGACGCUGAGGCGCGAAAGCUAGGGGAGCAAACGGG